GCCAGGCACAGUGGCACAUGCCUGUAAUCCCAGCAGCUCAGGAGGCUGAGGCAGGAGGAUAGCAAGUUCAAAGCCAGCCUCAGCAACUUACUGAGGCCCUAAGCAAUUUAGUGAGACCCUGCCUCAA
rnacentral:sRNA from 1 species